rnacentral:lncRNA from 1 species
CGGCAUUGCUUAAGUCAGGACCCUCUAAACUUUGUCGUUGAACUCAGCCAACUGCAAGCCCUUUGCCUUGAGUCUCCUGCACAUGUGCUCCUCCAUGCUGAUCUUGAGGAGUUGGUGAUCUUCCUAGGUGGCUUUUCCAUCCACAAGUCUGCUUCCGGAAGCUUAAACUCCUGGCUGAAGAGUUUGGCUGUGAGUCGAAAC